rnacentral:rRNA from 1 species
AGCACCGGCUAAUUCCGUGCCAGCAGCCGCGGUAAUACGGAAAGGUGCAAGCGUUAAUCGGAAUCACUGGGCGUAAAGCGCGCGUAGGCAGCCUUGUAAGUCGGAUGUGAAAGCCCACGGCUCAACCGUGGAACUGCAUUCGAAACUGCUUGGCUUGAGUCUUGGAGAGGGUGNCGGAAUUCCAGGUGUAGGAGUGAAAUCCGUAGAUAUCUGGAGGAACACCAGUGGCGAAGGCGGCCACCUGGACAAUGACUGACGCUGAGGUGCGAAAGCGUGGGUAGCAAACAGGAUUAGAUACCCUGGUAGUCCACGCCGUAAACGAUGGAUGCUAGGUGUCUGCCCGUUGGGGUAGGUGCCGUAGUUAACGCGUUAAGCAUCCCGCCUGGGGAGUACGGUCGCAAGGCUGAAACUCAAAGAAAUUGACGGGGGCCCGCACAAGCGGUGGAGUAUGUGGUUUAAUUCGAUGCAACGCGAAGAACCUUACCUGGACUUGACAUCCCGCGAAUCCUCUAGAGAUAGAGGAGUGCCCUUCGGGGAGCGCGGUGACAGGUGCUGCAUGGCUGUCGUCAGCUCGUGUCGUGAGGUGUUGGGUUAAGUCCCGCAACGAGCGCAACCCCUAUCCUUAGUUGCCACCAGAUAAUGCUGAGCACUCUAGGGAGACUGCCCGGGUCAACCGGGAGGAAGGUGGGGACGACGUCAAGUCAUCAUGGCCCUUACGUCCAGGGCUACACACGUACUACAAUGGUGGGUACAACGGGCAGCAAGACCGCGAGGUGGAGCCAAUCCCAAAAAACCCAUCCCAGUCCGGAUUGCAGUCUGCAACUCGACUGCAUGAAGUUGGAAUCGCUAGUAAUCCCGGAUCAGCAUGCCGGGGUGAUACGUUCCCGGGCCUUGUACACACCGCCCGUCACACCACGAAAGUUGGUUCUACCCGACGUCAGUGAGCUAACCCUUUUGGGAGGCAGCUGCCUACGGUAGGACUGAUGAUUGGGGUGAAGUCGU